rnacentral:rRNA from 1 species
UACGUAGGGUGCAAGCGUUUAAUCGGAAUUACUGGGCGUAAAGCGUGCGCAGGCGGUUUUGUAAGUUUGUCGUGAAAGCCCCGGGCUCAACCUGGGAAUUGCGAUGAAGACUGCAAGGCUUGAAUCUGGCAGAGGGGGGUAGAAUUCCACGUGUAGCAGUGAAAUGCGUAGAGAUGUGGCGGAACACCGAUGGCGAAGGCAGCCCCCUGGGUCAAGAUUGACGCUCAGGCACGAAAGCGUGGGGGAGCAAACAGG